GACGAACGCUGGCGGCGUGCCUAAUACAUGCAAGUAGAACGCUGAAGGAGGAGCUUGCUUCUCUGGAUGAGUUGCGAACGGGUGAGUAACGCGUAGGUAACCUGCCUGGUAGCGGGGGGUAACUACUGGAAACGAUAGCUAAUACCGCAUAAUAGUAGAUGUUGCAUGACAUUUGCUUAAAAGGUGCAAUUGCAUCACUACCAGAUGGACCUGCGUUGUAUUAGCUAGUUGGUGGGGUAACGGCUCACCAAGGCGACGAUACAUAGCCGACCUGAGAGGGUGAUCGGCCACACUGGGACUGAGACACGGCCCAGACUCCUACGGGAGGCAGCAGUAGGGAAUCUUCGGCAAUGGACGGAAGUCUGACCGAGCAACGCCGCGUGAGUGAAGAAGGUUUUCGGAUCGUAAAGCUCUGUUGUAAGAGAAGAACGAGUGUGAGAGUGGAAAGUUCACACUGUGACGGUAUCUUACCAGAAAGGGACGGCUAACUACGUGC
rnacentral:rRNA from 1 species